UGGGGAAUCUUGCGCAAUGGGCGAAAGCCUGACGCAGCGACGCCGCGUGGAGGAUGAGGCCCUUCGGGGUGUAAACUCCUGUUGCCCGGGACGAACGCCCGCUUGAGAGCGGGGUGACGGUACCGGGUGAGGAAGCACCGGCUAACUCUGUGCCAGCAGCCGCGGUAAUACAGAGGGUGCGAGCGUUGUCCGGAAUUACUGGGCGUAAAGGGCGCGUAGGCGGUCCGUCACGCGUGCCGUGAAAGCCCGGGGCUCAACCCCGGGUCGGCGGUGCGAACGGGGGGACUGGAGCACACCAGAGGCAGGCGGAAUUCCGGGUGUAGCGGUGGAAUGCGUAGAGAUCCGGAAGAACACCGGUGGCGAAGGCGGCCUGCUGGGGUGUGGCUGACGCUGAGGCGCGACAGCGUGGGGAGCAAACAGG
rnacentral:rRNA from 1 species